GAUGAAGAACGUAGCGAAAUGCGAUAAGUAGUGUGAAUUGCAGAAUUCAGUGAAUCAUCGAAUCUUUGAACGCACAUUGCGGCCAUAGGUAUUCCUUUGGCCAUGCCUGUUCGAGCGUCAUUUACACCCUCAAGCCUAGCUUGGUGUUGGGCGCCUGUCCCGCCAUUUUCGCGCGCGGACUCGCCUCAAAGUCAUUGGCGGCGGUCGUGCCGGCCCCCUCGCGCAGCACAUUUGCGCUUCUCGGAGGCCCGGCGGAUCCGCGCUCCAGCAAGACCUUUCACGACUUGACCUCGGAUCAGGUAGGGAUACCCGCUGAACUUAAGCAUAUCAAUAAGCGGAGGA
rnacentral:misc_RNA from 1 species